rnacentral:rRNA from 1 species
GAUGAACGCUGGCGGCGUGCCUAAUACAUGCAAGUCGAGCGAACGGACGAGAAGCUUGCUUUUCUGAUGUUAGCGGCGGACGGGUGAGUAACACGUGGAUAACCUACCUAUAAGACUGGGAUAACUUCGGGAAACCGGAGCUAAUACCGGAUAAUAUUUUGAACCGCAUGGUUCAAAAGUGAAAGACGGUCUUGCUGUCACUUAUAGAUGGAUCCGCGCUGCAUUAGCUAGUUGGUAAGGUAACGGCUUACCAAGGCAACGAUGCAUAGCCGACCUGAGAGGGUCAUCCGCCACACUGGAACUGAGACACGGUCCAGACUCCUACGGGAGGCAGCAGUAGGGAAUCUUCCGCGAUGGGCGAAAGCCUGACGGAGCAACGCCGCGUGAAUGAUGAAGGUCUUCGGAUCGUAAAACUCUGUUAUUAGGGAAGAACAUAUGUGUAAGUAACUGUGCACAUCUUGACGGUACCUAAUCAGAAAGCCACGGCUAACUACGUG